rnacentral:rRNA from 1 species
AGAGUUUGAUCCUGGCUCAGAGCGAACGCUGGCGGCAGGCUUAACACAUGCAAGUCGAGCGCCCCGCAAGGGGAGCGGCAGACGGGAGAGUAACACGUGGGAACGUACCCUUCAGUUCGGAACAACCCAGGGAAACUUGGGCUAAUACCGGAUACGUCCGUAAGGAGAAAGAUUUAUCGCUGAAGGAUCGGCCCGCGUCUGAUUAGCUAGUUGGUGAGGUAACGGCUCACCAAGGCGACGAUCAGUAGCUGGUCUGAGAGGAUGAUCAGCCUCACUGGGACUGAGACACGGCCCAGACUCCUACGGGAGGCAGCAGUGGGGAAUAUUGGACAAUGGGCGCAAGCCUGAUCCAGCCAUGCCGCGUGGA